GAUGAACGCUGGCGGCGUGCCUAAUACAUGCAAGUCGAGCGAACGGACGAGAAGCUUGCUUCUCUGAUGUUAGCGGCGGACGGGUGAGUAACACGUGGAUAACCUACCUAUAAGACUGGGAUAACUUCGGGAAACCGGAGCUAAUACCGGAUAAUAUUUUGAACCGCAUGGUUCAAAAGUGAAAGACGGUCUUGCUGUCACUUAUAGAUGGAUCCGCGCUGCAUUAGCUAGUUGGUAAGGUAACGGCUUACCAAGGCAACGAUGCAUAGCCGACCUGAGAGGGUGAUCGGCCACACUGGAACUGAGACACGGUCCAGACUCCUACGGGAGGCAGCAGUAGGGAAUCUUCCGCAAUGGGCGAAAGCCUGACGGAGCAACGCCGCGUGAGUGAUGAAGGUCUUCGGAUCGUAAAGCUCUGUUAUUAGGGAAGAACAUAUGUGUAAGUAACUGUGCACAUCUUGACGGUACCUAAUCAGAAAGCCACGGCUAACUACGUGCCAGCAGCCGCGGUAAUACGUAGGUGGCAAGCGUUAUCCGGAAUUAUUGGGCGUAAAGCGCGCGUAGGCGGUUUUUUAAGUCUGAUGUGAAAGCCCACGGCUCAACCGUGGAGGGUCAUUGGAAACUGGAAAACUUGAGUGCAGAAGAGGAAAGUGGAAUUCCAUGUGUAGCGGUGAAAUGCGCAGAGAUAUGGAGGAACACCAGUGGCGAAGGCGACUUUCUGGUCUGUAACUGACGCUGAUGUGCGAAAGCGUGGGGAUCAAACAGG
rnacentral:rRNA from 1 species